rnacentral:rRNA from 1 species
UACGUAGGGGGCGAGCGUUGUCCGGAAUCAUUGGGCGUAAAGCGCGUGUAGGCGGCUUGAUAAGUCUGGUGUGAAAUCUUGGGGCUCAACCCCAAGCCUGCACUGGAUACUGUCAAGCUUGAGUCCGGGAGGGGAGAGCGGAAUUCCUAGUGUAGCGGUGAAAUGCGCAGAUAUUAGGAAGAACACCGGUGGCGAAGGCGGCUCUCUGGAACGGUACUGACGCUGAGACGCGAAAGCGUGGGGAGCGAACAGG